AUUGAACGCUGGCGGCAUGCCUUACACAUGCAAGUCGAACGGUAACAGGUCUUCGGAUGCUGACGAGUGGCGAACGGGUGAGUAAUACAUCGGAACGUGCCCGAGAGUGGGGGAUAACGAGGCGAAAGCUUUGCUAAUACCGCAUACGAUCUCAGGAUGAAAGCAGGGGACCGCAAGGCCUCGCGCUCACGGAGCGGCCGAUGGCAGAGUAGGUAGUUGGUGGGAUAAAAGCUUACCAAGCCGACGAUCUGUAGCUGGUCUGAGAGGACGACCAGCCACACUGGGACUGAGACACGGCCCAGACUCCUACGGGAGGCAGCAGUGGGGAAUUUUGGACAAUGGGCGCAAGCCUGAUCCAGCCAUGCCGCGUGUCUGAAGAAGGCCUUCGGGUUGUAAAGGACUUUUGUCCGGGAGCAAAUGCCUGGUGUUAAUAGCAUCGGGAGCUGAGAGUACCGGAAGAAUAAGCACCGGCUAACUACGUGCCAGCCGCCGCCGUAAGAC
rnacentral:rRNA from 1 species